UCUAGUGUAGAGGUGAAAUUCGUAGAUAUUAGAAAGAAUACCAAUUGCGAAGGCAGCUUUCUGGAUCAUUACUGACACUGAGGAACGAAAGCAUGGGUAGCGAAGAGGAUUAGAUACCCUCGUAGUCCAUGCCGUAAACGAUGUGUGUUAGACGUUGGAAAUUUAUUUUCAGUGUCGCAGCGAAAGCAAUAAACACACCGCCUGGGGAGUACGACCGCAAGGUUAAAACUCAAAUGAAUUGACGGGGACCCGCACAAGUAGUGGAGCAUGUGGUUUAAUUCGAAGAUACGCGCAGAACCUUACCAACACUUGACAUGUUCGUCGCGACUUUAAGAGAUUAAAGUUUUCGGUUCGGCCGGACGAAACACAGGUGCUGCAUGGCUGUCGUCAGCUCGUGUCGUGAGAUGUUGGGUUAAGUCCCGCAACGAGCGCAACCCUCACUUUUAGUUGCCAUCAUUUAGUUGGGCACUCUGAAAGAACUGCCAGUGAUAAGCUGGAGGAAGGUGGGGAUGACGUCAAGUCCUCAUGGCCCUUACGUGUUGGGCUACACACGUGCUACAAUGGUAUCUACAACAGGAAGCAAAACGGCGACGUUAAGCAAAUCCUUAAAAGAUACCUCAGUUCGGAUUGCACUCUGCAACUCGAGUGCAUGAAGCUGGAAUUACUAGUAAUCGUGGAUCAGCGUGCCACGGUGAAUGCGUUCCCGGGUCUUGUACACACCGCCCGUCACACCAUGGGAGUUGGUUCUACCUUAAGGCAAGGUUUUAAACCCUUGACCACGGUAUAGUCAGCGACUGGGGUGAAGUCGUAACAAGGUAGCCGUAGGGGAACCUGCGGCUG
rnacentral:rRNA from 1 species